AUUCUAGAGGGGACGGCAUAAAGCCUUUCUGGAAAAGGCUUAAGAUCACCAGAAACUCUAGGAGUUGGAGUAAUGCAGACCUCCAUUUUCUUAUACCUGUAGCCACAAAACAAAGUCAUUCCAGGUAAGUACACCUCUUACUUCUGAGCAUAAGUGUUGAUCAAACUUUUAGGAUAUCUAAAACUCAUAGAUACCCUUGUGAGAACUUAAAAAAAGGAUUUCUUGUGUUAAUAUUACAUGAUUUCAUGAUAUAUAAAAUAAUCACAAAUUGGGAUCACGAAGCUUUUAUCAUAACUACAUGCGCAAACAUCAAAGACAUAGAAACAGUAAUUACAUAUUUUGUUUCCAUUGGCUCCUGCAUAACCGUAUGGGACAUGGUACUUGAUUACUGAUUUUCUUAUAAUACAUCAAUUUUUUAAGACAGUUUUGUUUUCCUUUUUUUCCACAACUUUUCUCCCACCUUUUACGUUCAUGUAUGCUUGUGCUUACGGUUAGUAGAAAGAAAUAUAAGGAAUCCUAAUAAAAGAAUGUCAAAAUAUUCAAAUUGUUCAAUACUAAUUAAGGGUCAUACCAGACAUCAUUAGCAUCUGCCGACUCACAGAAUUUUACUCCGGAAUCUUCUUGUCUGCUGCGACAUGAUUCGGAGUCAACAGUUUUUUGCCAAAUAGCAAUUUCAGAUUGUUCAGACUUUUUCUCCCAGCAUAGGAGCUUAGCAACCUCUUCAAUCUUUCUUUGUUCUUCUUCAAGAUCCUCUUUGGGUCUCUGCCAGGAUUUGUAGUUAGCCUUCCAAUUGAUUGGAGGACCAGACAGCACCCAAUAACCGCCAGGUCUUAGAACUCGGUCAACCUCCAUCAUAUACAUUCCAUCUGCAAAUAGAGGACCCAAUAUGCAUUACUAAAUAGCUGCUAUAACUUAUAUGAGGCGCCAAAUCUAAGAGCAAUAAUACGCAAAAAAAUCAUCCUGCUUUCUCAUUUACAGCAAGUACUUCACAGAGAAGAUUAUACUUAAAAACGUGAAUAUCUCACCAUUUCCUCCCCAGGGAAUCAAGCAGCGAGAGCAGUGUGCCAUGUCAAAAGCUGCAGAUGGAUACGGCAAUUUUAUGGUUCCAAGAACACCAAUGACAGCAGGUACACCUCUUUCAAGAGCAAACUGUACUUGUGCCUCAUGAGAGUCCCU
rnacentral:lncRNA from 1 species